rfam:Myotis lucifugus cont2.15596, whole genome shotgun sequence.
AGGCCUGCAGAGAGAGGGGCAGGGUCUGAUCUGUAGUCUCAGUGGCAACUGUUGAUCAGCCAUUGCCUCUCUCUCUCUCUCCU